rnacentral:rRNA from 1 species
UGGGGAAUAUUGGACAAUGGACCGAGAGUCUGAUCCAGCAAUUCUGUGUGCACGAUGACGUUUUUCGGAAUGUAAAGUGCUUUCAGUUGGGAAGAAAAAAAUGACGGUACCAACAGAAGAAGUGACGGCUAAAUACGUGCCAGCAGCCGCGGUAAUACGUAUGUCACGAGCGUUAUCCGGAUUUAUUGGGCGUAAAGCGCGUCUAGGUGGUUAUGUAAGUCUGAUGUGAAAAUGCAGGGCUCAACUCUGUAUUGCGUUGGAAACUGUGUAACUAGAGUACUGGAGAGGUAAGCGGAACUACAAGUGUAGAGGUGAAAUUCGUAGAUAUUUGUAGGAAUGCCGAUGGGGAAGCCAGCUUACUGGACAGAUACUGACGCUGAAGCGCGAAAGCGUGGGUAGCAAACAGG